rnacentral:rRNA from 1 species
UACGUAGGGGGCAAGCGUUAUCCGGAUUUACUGGGUGUAAAGGGAGCGUAGACGGCAGCGCAAGUCUGGAGUGAAAUGCCGGGGCCCAACCCCGGAACUGCUUUGGAAACUGUGCAGCUCGAGUGCAGGAGAGGUAAGCGGAAUUCCUAGUGUAGCGGUGAAAUGCGUAGAUAUUAGGAGGAACACCAGUGGCGAAGACGGCUUACUGGACUGUAACUGACGUUGAGGCUCGAAAGCGUGGGGAGCAAACAGG